rnacentral:rRNA from 1 species
GACGAACGCUGGCGGCGUGCUUAACACAUGCAAGUCGAACGGAAAGGCCCUGCAUUGGUGUGGUGCUCGAGUGGCGAACGGGUGAGUAACACGUGAGUAACCUGCCCUUGACUAUGGGAUAACUUCAGGAAACUGGGGCUAAUACCGGAUAGGAGCUCCUGCUGCAUGGUGGGGGUUGGAAAGUUUAGGCGGUGGGGGAUGGACUCGCGGCUUAUCAGCUUGUGGGUGGGGUAGUGGCUUACCAAGGCUUUGACGGGUAGCCGGCCUGAGAGGGUGACCGGCCACAUUGGGACUGAGAUACGGCCCAGACUCCUACGGGAGGCAGCAGUGGGGAAUAUUGCCCAAUGAGCGGGAGCCUGAUGCAGCAGCGCCGCGUGCGGGAUGACGGCCUUCGGGUUGUAAACCGCUUUCGCCUGUGACGAAGCGUGAGUGACGGUAAUGGAUAAAGAAGCACCGGCUAACUACGUG